AGGACGAACGCUGGUGGCGUGCUUAACACAUGCAAGUCGAACGGUGAAGCCCAGCUUGCUGGGUGGAUCAGUGGCGAACGGGUGAGUAACACGUGAGCAACCUGCCCCCUACUUCGGGAUAAGCCUUGGAAACGAGGUCUAAUACCGGAUAUGAGCACUUACCGCAUGGUGGGUGUUGGAAAGUUUUUCGGUGGGGGAUGGGCUCGCGGCCUAUCAGCUUGUUGGUGGGGUAAUGGCCUACCAAGGCGUCGACGGGU
rnacentral:rRNA from 1 species